UACGGAGGGUGCAAGCGUUAUCCGGAUUCACUGGGUUUAAAGGGUGCGUAGGCGGACUUUUAAGUCAGUGGUGAAAUCUUCGUGCUUAACAUGAAAAUUGCCAUUGAUACUAUUAGUCUUGAAUGUAGUUGAGGUGGGCGGAAUAUGUCAUGUAGCGGUGAAAUGCUUAGAUAUGACAUAGAACACCAAUUGCGAAGGCAGCUCACUAAGCUAUUAUUGACGCUGAUGCACGAAAGCGUGGGGAGCAAACAGG
rnacentral:rRNA from 1 species